rnacentral:rRNA from 1 species
UACGUAGGGUGCGAGCGUUGUCCGGAAUUAUUGGGCGUAAAGAGCUCGUAGGCGGUGUGUCACGUCGGCCGUGAAAACCUGCAGCUUAACUGUGGGCGUGCGGUCGAUACGGGCAUCACUGGAGUUCGGCAGGGGAGACUGGAAUUCCUGGUGUAGCGGUGAAAUGCGCAGAUAUCAGGAGGAACACCGGUGGCGAAGGCGGGUCUCUGGGCCGAUACUGACGCUGGAGACGCGAAAGCGUGGGGGAGCGAACAGG